rnacentral:rRNA from 1 species
CCCUUAGAUGUUCUGGGCCGCACGCGCGCUACACUGACGAAUGCAACGAGCUUAUAACCUUGGCCGAAAGGUCUGGGUAAUCUCCAAAUUUCGUCGUGAUGGGGAUAGAUUAUUGCAAUUAUUAAUCUUCAACGAGGAAUGCCUAGUAAGCGCAAGUCAUCAGCUUGCGUUGAUUACGUCCCUGCCCUUUGUACACACCGCCCGUCGCUCCUACCGAUUGAGUGUGUUGGUGAGGAGUUUGGAUUGGCCUCGGAAGGUGGUUCGCCACCGUCCGUAGCUGAGAAGUUCUCCAAACCGCCCCACUUAGAGGAAGGAGAAGUCGUAACA